AUACGUAGGUGGCGAGCGUUGUCCGGAAUUAUUGGGCGUAAAGAGCAUGUAGGCGGCUUAAUAAGUCGAGCGUGAAAAUGCGGGGCUCAACCCCGUAUGGCGCUGGAAACUGUUAGGCUUGAGUGCAGGAGAGGAAAGGGGAAUUCCCAGUGUAGCGGUGAAAUGCGUCGAUAUUGGGAGGAACACCAGUGGCGAAGGCGCCUUUCUGGACUGUGUCUGACGCUGAGAUGCGAAAGCCAGGGUAGCGACCGGGAUUAGAUACCCCGGUAGUCCUGGCCGUAAACGAUGGGUACUAGGUGUAGGAGGUAUCGACCCCUUCUGUGCCGGAGUUAACGCAAUAAGUACCCCGCCUGGGGAGUACGGCCGCAAGGUUGAAACUCAAAUGAAUUGGCGGGG
rnacentral:rRNA from 1 species